GACGAACGCUGGCGGCGCGCCUAACACAUGCAAGUCGAACGAGCAAAGAGGAGCUUGCUUCUCUGAGCGAGUGGCGAACGGGUGAGUAACGCGUGAGGAACCUGCCUCAAAGAGGGGGACAACAGUUGGAAACGACUGCUAAUACCGCAUAAGCCCACGGGUCGGCAUCGACCAGAGGGAAAAGGAGCAAUCCGCUUUGAGAUGGCCUCGCGUCCGAUUAGCUAGUUGGUGAGGUAAUGGCGCACCAAGGCGACGAUCGGGAGCCGGACUGAGAGGUUGAACGGCCACAUUGGGACUGAGACACGGCCCAGACUCCUACGGGAGGCAGCAGUGGGGAAUAUUGCACAAUGGGGGAAACCCUGAUGCAGCGACGCCGCGUGGAGGAAGAAGGUCUUCGGAUUGUAAACUCCUGUUGUUGAGGAAGAUAAUGACGGUACUCAACGAGGAAGUGACGGCUAACUACGUGCCAGCAGCCGCGGUAAAACGUAGGUCACAAGCGUUGUCCGGAAUUACUGGGUGUAAAGGGAGCGCAGGCGGGAAGACAAGUUGGAAGUGAAAUCCAUGGGCUCAACCCAUGAACUGCUUUCAAAACUGUUUUUCUUGAGUAGUGCAGAGGUAGACGGAAUUCCCGGUGUAGCGGUGGAAUGCGUAGAUAUCGGGAGGAACACCAGUGGCGAAGGCGGCCUACUGGGCACCAACUGACGCUGAGGCUCGAAAGUGUGGGUAGCAAACAGGAUUAGGUACCCUGGUAGUCCACACCGUAAACGAUGAUUACUAGGUGUUGGAGGAUUGACCCCUUCAGUGCCGCAGUUAACACAAUAAGUAAUCCACCUGGGGAGUACGACCGCAAGGUUGAAACUCAAAGGAAUUGACGGGGGCCCGCACAAGCAGUGGAGUAUGUGGUUUAAUUCGACGCAACGCGAAGAACCUUACCAAGUCUUGACAUCCUGCGACGGACAUAGAAAUAUGUCUUUCCUUCGGGACGCAGAGACAGGUGGUGCAUGGUUGUCGUCAGCUCGUGUCGUGAGAUGUUGGGUUAAGUCCCGCAACGAGCGCAACCCUUAUGGUCAGUUACUACGCAAGAGGACUCUGGCCAGACUGCCGUUGACAAAACGGAGGAAGGUGGGGAUGACGUCAAAUCAUCAUGCCCUUUAUGACUUGGGCUACACACGUACUACAAUGGCGUUAAACAAAGAGAAGCAAGACCGCGAGGUGGAGCAAAACUCAGAAACAACGUCCCAGUUCGGACUGCAGGCUGCAACUCGCCUGCACGAAGUCGGAAUUGCUAGUAAUCGUGGAUCAGCAUGCCACGGUGAAUACGUUCCCGGGCCU
rnacentral:rRNA from 1 species